rnacentral:sRNA from 1 species
AUAAAAAAAUAUUAAUACGGGACAAUAUACAACACUUGAAAU